GAUCCUGGCUCAGGAUGAACGCUAGCGACAGGCCUAACACAUGCAAGUCGAGGGGCAGCGGAGAGGUAGCAAUACCUUUGCCGGCGACCGGCGCACGGGUGAGUAACACGUAUGUAAUCCACCUGUAACAGGGGGAUAACCCGGAGAAAUCCGGACUAAUACCCCAUAAUAUGGGCGCUCCGCAUGGAGAGCCCAUUAAAGAGAGCAAUUUUGGUUACAGACGAGCAUGCGCUCCAUUACG
rnacentral:rRNA from 1 species